CAGCAGCCGCGGGAAAACGGAGGGGGCUAGCGUUGUUCGGAAUUACUGGGCGUAAAGCGCACGUAGGCGGCUUUGUAAGUUAGAGGUGAAAGCCCGGAGCUCAACUCCGGAAUUGCCUUUAAGACUGCAUCGCUCGAAUCCAGGAGAGGUGAGUGGAAUUCCGAGUGUAGAGGUGAAAUUCGUAGAUAUUCGGAAGAACACCAGUGGCGAAGGCGGCUCACUGGACUGGUAUUGACGCUGAGGUGCGAAAGCGUGGGGAGCAAACAGGAUUAGAUACCCCUGUAGUCCAUGUCUCUUAUAC
rnacentral:rRNA from 1 species